AUUGAACGCUGGCGGCAGGCCUAACACAUGCAAGUCGAGCGGAUGAAGGGAGCUUGCUCCUGGAUUCAGCGGCGGACGGGUGAGUAAUGCCUAGGAAUCUGCCUGGUAGUGGGGGAUAACGUCCGGAAACGGGCGCUAAUACCGCAUACGUCCUGAGGGAGAAAGUGGGGGAUCUUCGGACCUCACGCUAUCAGAUGAGCCUAGGUCGGAUUAGCUAGUUGGUGGGGUAAAGGCCUACCAAGCGACGAUCCGUAACUGGUCUGAGAGGAUGAUCAGUCACACUGGAACUGAGACACGGUCCAGACCCCUACGGGAGGCAGCAGUGGGGAAUAUUGGACAAUGGGCGAAAGCCUGAUCCAGCCAUGCCGCGUGUGUGAAGAAGGUCUUCGGAUUGUAAAGCACUUUAAGUUGGGAGGAAGGGCAGUAAGUUAAUACCUUGCUGUUUUGACGUUACCAACAGAAUAAGCACCGGCUAACUUCGUG
rnacentral:rRNA from 1 species